rnacentral:tRNA from 2 species
CUGGAUCACCUCCUUAUAGGGAGACCUAUUUACUCUUAGACUGAACCAAUACAGAAUUAAGUCAAGAGUAAGUCAUCCCAAGGUCGUUCGAGAUUUAUUGGAAAGCUUUCAAACUAAGUCAGGUUCUAAAUUUGGCUAACAUAAAGGGCCAUUAGCUCAGUUGGUUAGAGCGCACCCCUGAUAAGGGUGAGGUCACUGGUUCGUGUCCAGUAUGGCCCACUUGAGUACAAGGAAAAAGGAGAAAGGAAAAAGGAAAAAACUCAAAUAGAGUCUUCACUUUUUACUUUUUACUUCUGACUUUUUACUUGACACUCUGGGGAUAUAGCUCAGUUGGUAGAGCGCCUGCUUUGCACGCAGGAAGUCAGGAGUUCGAAUCUCCUUAUCUCCACCAAACUACUAACAAAGACCAACAAAAGCAAAAGCAAGAGUUUAGCAACUCAUCUAGUUAGGCAAAACCUAAACAACUAGAGAGACUGCUAAAUUCUAGCGAAAGCGAGAAUUUAGAAAGAACCUUGAAAACUGCAUAGUAAUAGUAAUAAGAAGCAAGUAGAUCCAAAGUGGAAACACAGAGGUCAGCACAUUCCCC